CAAGCAGAAUGUGAAAUCGUAAGGCUCAACCUUACAACUGGAUUCUGAACUGGCAAGCUAGAGCAUAGUAGGGGUAGCUGGAAUUCCCGGUGUAGGAGUGGAAUCCGUAGAUAUCGGGAGGAACACCAAUGGCGUAGGCAGGCUACUGGACUAUUGCUGACGCUGAGGCACGAAAGCGUGGGUAGCGAACGGGAUUAGAUACCCCGGUAGUCCACGCCGUAAACGAUGGAUGCUA
rnacentral:rRNA from 1 species